UUAUAUAUCUACAAGUGUGUUUACUAAAUACAUGUAUUAUUAUGCUAAUGUAAUUUAAUUGAUAAAGGUUUUUUUUAUUUAAGAAAAUCUGAGCAUCACUCAAAAUAACUGUCAACAUGUUUGUCAACUAAACAUGUUUUGUAAACGUUAUACAUUUUAUAAAAAUAUUUAAUAUUUUUAUUAUUGAUAAAGUAUAAAGAACAAAUCAGUGUGAAAACGCAGAUUAUAAAAAGUACAUAAAGUGCCAGCAGAGGAUCCAAAAUAAUGAAAAAAAAAAAAAACAUCCAAUGCAACUUGGAAAUUGUAGUCAAAAUACAUCUACAGCAGCAUGCUAAAGCAGUACCAACGCCAGGGCAAAAGACUCAAAUUCCCAGAAUGCACCUGCACCCACCCAUUCAUUCCCACCAAUCAGGAUCAACGGCAUUUUUCAAACCGCUACUGACUCGUUUUCAUGCUAAACAGUACGGCUGAGGUAAGUUUGACUUUCAUUCCUUUACAUCGCGCAGAUCUGUUCCAUAUUUGUUCCUAUUUUGUUCUUCACUGUGAUUAUUUUUGUCUUUAUGCGAGAAGUGUUUUAAUUUAAAGCACACACAGGAAACAUUAAGAGUAAGUUAUACACUGUACACAGUAACGUUAGGAACUUGAACAUGCGGUUUUUCAGUGAGCAAAGUAACAUGCAAAAUGCCUGAUAAACGAAUCAAUUCGAUGUUUAAAACUUUAAAAAUAAAACGGCAAGAUUACUUGUGUUGGAGAUGUUCAGCUAACUGUAGCAAAUGGCUCUUUCUGCUAUUUUAAACGAUAACCUUAGACGAUUUCUGUUGUUUAAAAGCUCAUUGCUGUAGAGGUCAUGUACCAUGUGGUCGACCUUGCUGACGCUGAAGAGGUUUCUGUGUAAAAAUGAUGACAUUGAGACAAACAGACCAGUUCUGGCUGCCGUGGAGGUCAACACACCACUGAUCUACUGGCUGCCCUUCAACGUGAUGCCCAGCCGAUGCCUGACCACCGACGGAACUAGGGCUGCACGAUAAGUCGCAUGUGUUUGUCAGGCGCAUCUCCUCAGUAAUGCCGGUUCCUUGAUUAGUAUUAAAUCGCCAUCAGCUGUUUUCAGAUGUAGCAGCUUUAACUACACAGAGCCGUAGUUCACUGACAAUCGGGGCAAUUUCGCAUUAAUUAUCGCGGACGUAUCGGCUGCGAUAUGUAUGCGAUAUGGCCCAGCUUGUCAGGGAACUACGGCUCUGUAGUUAAAGCUGCUCCAUC